AGAUAUCACUAGGAAUACCUAAAGCGAAGGCGAUCUCCUGGGAACAUUACUGACGCUAAGGCGUGAAAGCGUGGGGAGCAAACGGGAUUAGAUACCCCGGUAGUCCACGCCCUAAACGAUGAACACUAGUCGUCGGGAAGCUUGUCUUCUCGGUGAUGCACUUAACAGAUUAAGUGUUCCGCCUGGGGAGUACGGUCGCAAGAUUAAAACUCAAAGGAAUAGACGGGGACCCGCACAAGUGGUGGAGCAUGUGGUUUAAUUCGACGAUACGCGAAGAACCUUACCUGGCCUUGACAUUGAUUGAAUACACCAGAGAUGGAGUAGUGCCCUUCGGGGAGCAUGAAUCCCACGGUGCUGCACAGGCUGUCGUCAGCUCGUGUCGUGAGAUGUUGGGUUAAGUCCCGCAACGAGCGCAACCCUCGUCCUUAGUUGCCAGCAGGUUAAGCUGGGCACUCUAGGGAGACUGCCUUCGUAAGGAGGAGGAAGGUGAGGACGACGUCAAGUCAUCAUGGCCCUUACGGCCAGGGCUACACACGUGCUACAAUGGGGCGUACAGAGUGUUGCGAUACCGCGAGGUGGAGCUAAUCACUUAAAGCGUCUCUCAGUUCGGAUUGGAGUCUGCAACUCGACUCCAUGAAGCUGGAAUCACUAGUAAUCGUAGAUCAGCAAUGCUACGGUGAAUACGUUCCCGGGUCUUGUACUCACCGCCCGUCACACCAUGGGAGUUGAUUUCGCCCGAAAUCGGAAUGCCAAACUGGCUACCGCUUACGGCGGAAUUAGCGACUGGGGUGAAGUCGUAACAAGGUAACC
rnacentral:rRNA from 1 species